AAUGAACGCUGGCGGCAGGCCUAACACAUGCAAGUCGAACGGAUCCUUCGGGAUUAGUGGCGGACGGGUGAGUAACGCGUGGGAACAUACCCUUUGGUACGGAAUAGCCUCGGGAAACUGGGGGUAAUACCGUAUGUGGUCGAGAGACGAAAGAUUUAUCGCCAAAGGAUUGGCCCGCGUUGGAUGAGGUAGUUGGUGGGGUAAUGGCCUACCAAGCCGACGAUCCAUAGCUGGUUUGAGAGGAUGAUCAGCCACACUGGGACUGAGACACGGCCCAGACUCCUACGGGAGGCAGCAGUGGGGAAUCUUAGACAAUGGGGGAAACCCUGAUCUAGCCAUGCCGCGUGAUCGAUGAAGGCCUUAGGGUUGUAAAGAUCUUUCAGGUGGGAAGAUAAUGACUGUACCACCAGAAGAAGCCCCGGCUAACUCCGUGCCAGCAGCCGCCGUAA
rnacentral:rRNA from 1 species